ACGAAGCGGAGCAAUUCCUCGGGGCAGGAAGGAAGUGAGGGAGUUGGAAAAGAUUGGAGCAUUCACAGGUGCCCUCGCUGUCACUGGGGGUGGGAGGUGGGAUCUGAGUGACAAACCACAGAGAUUUCACCUCAGCCUUUGCCUGAACUGAUUGAUGUCAAAUCUCCAGAUUGCUGUAACGUCUAGGAUUUAUUCAUAAAGACGAUGCAAUUGCAUGAAAACAGUGUGAAACUCCUUGAGUCAUUGGCCAUUUCUACCGAGUCCCGGGCAAUGACAUCUUUCUGAUUUUGUUUCGUUCACUGUUCCACAAGUGGGAAGGUGAAGGAGUCGUCAAAGAAGUUUUCGUUUCUGAAUCAACAGAUUUAUAAUGGGAGCCUUUUCAUGCUAGUCGUUAGACUAAUGUCUUGGUUUCGCCACGAGGACGCAUCUUCACCGAAAACACUAAACGUUGUUUGAAAGUAACGCUAUUUGUCGAAGAGAUGCUUCAUUCUGUCAGAAACAUACACUGACUCCAAUGAUGUUCUGUGCACAUUCGCUUGUCAAAAAGAUAUGGGGAAUAAAGAUAAAUUCCAGGCAUAUCGAUGCCUUCACGGGCUUGAUUACAAAAAAAAAUUAAAAUUCCAAACAGAAACAAAAAGAAUCAAUUUGAGGCUCAGACUUUGUACAAUGGUCCGGAAAUCCUUCGUUUAUAAAACGCGCAAUUGAACGGGAUGGGGUGUCAGUAAAUGGAUACUUAAUGGGGAAAUGGAAUUGAAUUUCAUGGAGUAACGUGCUUAAAUACGGUAUAUAUAAUUGGAUUGGUAGACAGACAUAAACAGAUAUUAAGUAGAAAGAUUAAUCGAUAUAGAAAUACUGAAACUGCCAAAUGCUAGAAGGACAUAUACAGAGCAGAAUGUCGUCGGUUAAAGAGUACGAUUGUCCCAUGUGUCUGCGUAUAAACGAGAAAAA